rnacentral:lncRNA from 1 species
AAGCAAUCUGGAGAGAAUUUGUCACAGGACUCGAAGGCCCAGAUGCAGCAACGCCGAGAUCGGCGAGGGAGAUUGACUUGUUCUUUUUAAUUGCCAUAGCACCACGCUUCCUGGCAGGACGCGCUAGACGGAAGACCUUGAAAGGCAGAGCGAGGAGCGGACGAGGUUUCUUUUUCUUAGCAAGCAUCGCGACAUGGGAGAGGGAAACAGGGGAACAGAAGGGGAGAGGCGAAGAGUUCUCGCCGGAGAGCGUGGUGCCCACCGACGGCGGAGGAGAGGAUGAGAAACAAUCCCCCAAAAGAUCGCACUUUUUAGAGAGAGAAAGUAGCCG